ACAAAAACAAAACCCACAUUAAUAAAAGCACAUAGACAUAUUAGCAACUAAAGUACAGAUAAUGAAACUUAAAGGGAUAGUUCACCCAAAAAAAAAAAUUCUGUCAUGAUUUACUCACUCUCAUGUUGUUGCAAACCUGUAUAAAUUUCUUUAUUUGAAGAGUUUGGUUCCAAACUAGCGAUAAAUGCCUUUUUUUUAUGUUACCGCCAAAAUCAGUAUUGUAUCUGGUGGUCAGUAUUAAAAAGUUAAUUCUUCAUUUUACGCAAAAUCCGAUAUCCGUUGUGUUAUUCUGUCAUCUUUUCCCCCUUUUUUUUCCUAAACGCAAUAAACGCCAGUCCUCCUUCUCUGCAGAAUGCAAUAAAUCCGCUCAACAAAUCGCAGCGCAACAUUCCACGCAUUGUAAACAAUAAUGGCGGCGCUUUGAAUACACACAGAAUCCUAGUUUUCCUCAUUUACUUUGUACUUCGUGAUAAACAAACAAACAAAAACAAAAUAAUAAUUUUGAUGGCAUUGCUAAACCUGUGGUGGGGAAGAAACGUAAGCCAUCAAAAUUGAAUAAUUACGCGAGAAGCACUAUUUUACGUCAACGAAAGUCAUCGUAAAAGUUCAGCGACGACGUCCCAAGGAUGACAGCAGCAAUGACAGUGUUCUUAAUAUUACAAAAUAUUUAUAUACUAACAUCACCAGACUGUACCUGCGAUGAGUGAGGAAACUGCCAUUGGCAUGCCCCGAUCCAUCACAUCCUGGCGUGGGGCAGGUUGGGCCCUCAGCCUUGAAGGCUUUCCAGGAGAAUGGUGUGCCAUUUAACAUGCCCUCUUUCUGCCGGCGUGCUGCCAGUGGGCACCCAUAAGCACUGCGGUGGGUGGCGUAUUUCCCACUGAUAUGCCCCAGACUGUCACAACCUGGCACUGGGCACCUGCACGGAGUUGGAGUGGUUUUGACUCCUCCCUUCUUGGCACGUGGGCAUCCAGACAGACUGCAAAGAGAAUAUAUAAAAUGUGAAGAGUAAAUGUGAUUUAAACUGUACCUUCUAUGGGAAGCAUAGUUUCCAGUAAUGUGGCCUGAUCCAUCACAACCUGGAGUAGGACAUCUGAAGGUUGAGAGAAAAUAGAUAGAGGGACAAAUACAGAAAAAAACAGAGCUGGAAAUCUGGACACACGCAGACAUAUCCACACAUUUAAGCACCCUGAACUGAAGCGAUAAGAGGGUCUGAUGUCCAAAAUCUGGUUUCGUCACUCUGGGCAGAGAAUGAAAGGUGCAGAUUUGCAGAGGAGACCACCCGAAGUAAACUCAUUAAGGGUCCAAUAAAAACCUUCUGUCGGGACGGCAGGACUCCUACAGAUACUCCAGUGACAAUACAAACAACAGCAAGAGCAGAGAGAGAGAAGAAAUCCACAGACAAAAGAGUCCUCUAAUUAGCAGAGCACUUCUAAGUGACAUAUGCUCCUGGAAUCGGGGGUGAAGAAUGACGGAAGUGAAGGAGAAGAGAGUGAAGAGGAACUGCCCAGGGCGUUUAGACAGCAGGACCAGUGAAUGACUCCGGUGCCAUAAAGACCACAAAAGCCUAUCAACUGUACUGCUGCGCUGAGAUAAGCAAAGCAUCAGUCUGUGGUUAUUCUCAUAACAAUGGAUGGUGAAAUAACAGUUAUAAGUAACUCGGUAGGGAAGUACAGUGAUAAUGAGGUAUUUGUUUUAAGGUUUUUUACAGACCCUAGGACACAUUUCUCAAUACUUAGGUCACUUUUGCAAAACUCUUCACACAGUUCUCCUAACACACUUUUAGCUUAGCAAAGCAGAUCAUUUCACAUUCAAAAUGCACUACAACUACCAAAACACUUUAUUCAGGUCUCAAAUCAACUCAUUCUUUCAGAACACUAGCAAAGGUUGACAGCCGACAAACACACUUUGUCACCCACAAAAGAACAACCUAAAAAACACUACAACAUGUAGCAUUAUACAAUGUUUUCUCUGUUUAUAAUUCACUGCAAUAUAUGUUACUGGAAUGAAUCAGACAUGAUGCAGAAUUCUUCAAUAUUUUAAGUAGUUAUUUUUAUUUUUUUUGCACUGAAUAAUUCAUUACUGUUCGUAAAAAAACGUAAAAAACUGUAAGAUUUAAAAUAUAUUUUAUUAAAAUAUUACUGUAGAAAUGUAGCAAACUGCUGUCUUAUUUAGUUUUGUAUUAUGUUAUUGUUUUGAACAUAAGUUUAACAGUUUUGAAAACAGUAUGUAAGCAUGUGCAAAUUGGCUUGUAUGUAUAAAGAGUUUUGGAAGUUGUUGUGUCUGAGUUAGAAAAGAAUUCAUGAAAUUUGAAAGAUGUAGUCAUUGAAUGCAUUUUGUGCCAAUGAUAAUUGAUCCUCAAUUUAGCCCACAUAGACUUCUGUUGUGCUCACUGUGUGAAGAGUUUUGCAAAAGUGACCUAAGUAUUGAGAAAUGUGUCCUAGUGUCUGGAAAAAACUGUAUACUGACAUUCCACUCAGAUUAAAUAUCUAAAAAUUAAAUAUUAAAUAACACUGCAUCUUUAUGUAUCAUCUGUGCUUUCUUUGCCCACUAUAUCCUUGAUUCUUUUAAGACUAAAUACAUUUACGCAUUUGGCAGAUGCUUUUAUCCAAAGUGACUUGCAAUGCAUUACAAACUGUACUUUUUUAUCAGUAUGUGUGUUCUCUGGGUUCGAACCUAUGACAUUUUGCACUGCUAAUGCAAUGCUUCACCGUGAGCAAUUCAGGAACAGCAUCAGAUGUCGUCUUUUACAGACCCUAGGGAAUCUUUGAUAUGUCAAUGACAUUUCAUCACAUAUCCAUUGACAGAAUGCAGAGUCAGACAUGAAUCCUGUUAAGUGUUUCUGUAGCUCAACUGGUAAAGCAUUAGGUUAGCAACUCAAAACUGUGGGUUUAAUUCCCAUGCAUGCUUAUAUAAAGGUAUACAUUGAAUGCAGUGUAAGCGUAUGCCAAGUGUGUAAAUUUACUGUUAUAUAAUGACAGCUAUGCUUUUUAAUUGUGAUGUCAUACGUAUUACAUUGAAUGUUUGUGUUUGCAUAAAUGAUACAUGCGUUACACACAUCUCCCUGCUGUACUAACAUCGUAUUUUAUCAGUGUUUUUCUUUUUGGAAGACAUACAUUUCAAAGCAUAGUAUUUUUACUCCACUACAUUUCAUCAUUUCAAGGUUUUGGUUAAUAUUUAAGUACAUUAAACAUCUAGUAUUUUUUUACUCAAUAAAGUAAAAGUACACAAUUUUUAUGUAAUUAUGUAUUAAAUCAAUUUUAAUAUGCAAUAUAAAAGGAAUAAACAAUAUGAUUCUAUGCUUUAGAAUGUAGUGAAAAUUUUUUAGUAAAGUAAGGUCAUUUUUUCCCAAGACAAACACUUUGAUAAAGCACAGAUGCUUGGAAAAUUUACUCAAAGUACUCAAGUAGUGUCCGCCUCUGCUAAGUAUACUGCUAGCAAGUAAAUUAAUUGCCAAAUUAAAUAGUGCAAUGCAAAUAUCAUAUACAGUACUGUGCAAAAGUCUUAGGCCACCACCACCAGACUUGUUAUUUUAGAAGUUUUAAUGUCCAUCCAUAUAUUAAUUUCAGUCUAUUUUAUUAAGAUACAAGUAGAAAAUACAGGAAAUAUGUACAAAAAAAUAAAAAAUUUUCAGGACUAAAUGUCUUCUUUAGGCAUCGUCUGUGUUUAGUGUGACCUCUCUUGGCACUUAAGCGUUUUUGAGCAGAAUGAAGUAAAAAGACUUUUUUUUAUUAGAAAUUAGGAUUUAAUUUUAUUUAGGCCUAAGAGAUCCUGCAGUUUUCCGGCUAUUGCUCAAGUGGAAGGGGAGUUUACCCUAAAAACUUGACACAUCAGUUUACAUUUUUAUACAGUUUUUAAUACUAUAUACACAUUUCCUGUAUUUUCUGGAUGUAUUCUUUUAAAGAGACUGAAAAACAAUUAUAUGAUCACUAUAACAUUGCAAAAAAACAACAAAUCUAAUUCUGGCAUGGCCUAAGAUUUUUGCACAGUACUGUGCAUUUUAUAUAUAGAUUUGUAACUACUAAGUCUUCAAUUACAGAUAUUUAUGUGUUUUUAAUUGCAGUAUUUGCAUUGGUAAAUGAAUUAUAUUUGAAUUUGUGGAUGUGUAUAUAGUGUUGUGUACCUUAACAUAUAUUUAUGGGUGAAUGGUUCGUGAAAAUGCUAUUGAUUUGCACACCCACUGUACUAUGAUGGAUGUUUGCUGGGAUCAGCAGGUCAUGUGUAUCUCUUACAGCUCAAUAAAGCUGUGAGCUCAGUUCCCAUUCUCAUGUCUGAGGUUAACGACUGCUUAUUUUAAUCAGAGCAAUGCUUCAAUAAAUCUCAGCUGCAACUCAUUUCCUACUGUUGUACAUUAUAGGUACCGUACACUUGGCAGUUUUUUUAUAGAGUAGAUAAAAAUGUUAUUUGGUAGAGCAAAAAGUCAUUCUAGUCAUUCAUCCUAUCUUACUAUUUAUAUCAUUCACAUAAUAUGAUCAGAGGUACUUACUCUUAGAAAUGUUUUAUAGGAUAUGUUAUUAUGAUUGAUUGACAACAUGACGAUCAUUAUUGACAAUAUGAGCAGAAGAGCUGUGGAACAGUGGAGCUGAAUAUGGCUCUCUAGCGCCACCUUUUGAUGUGUUGAUUUGGUACUUUAUCACUGAUGUGCCCCCUGCUGGAGAGAUAAGGAUCUUUAGGAAAUGUCAAAGUGCUUGCAAUUUGGCGUUUUCUAUUAAAUUUUCCAUCACAACUUGUGCAAUCUCCAGUCUUUAGCUUUUUAUCCCUCUCAUCUACU